rnacentral:rRNA from 1 species
UACAGAGGGUGCAAGCGUUAAUCGGAUUUACUGGGCGUAAAGCGUGCGUAGGCGGUUCAGUAUGUCGGUCGUGAAAUCCCCGGGCUUAACCUGGGAACUGCGGCCGAAACUGCUGGGCUCGAGUGUGGUAGAGGAAGGUGGAAUUCCAGGUGUAGCGGUGAAAUGCGUAGAUAUCUGGAGGAACACCGAUGGCGAAGGCAGCCUUCUGGGCCACAACUGACGCUGAGGUACGAAAGCGUGGGUAGCAAACAGG